UUCGCCCUUAGAGUUUGAUCCUGGCUCAGGACGAACGCUGGCGGCGCGCCUAACACAUGCAAGUCGAACGAGCGAGAGAGAGCUUGCUUUCUCGAGCGAGUGGCGAACGGGUGAGUAACGCGUGAGGAACCUGCCUCAAAGAGGGGGACAACAGUUGGAAACGACUGCUAAUACCGCAUAAGCCCACGGGUCGGCAUCGACCAGAGGGAAAAGGAGCAAUCCGCUUUGAGAUGGCCUCGCGUCCGAUUAGCUAGUUGGUGAGGUAACGGCCCACCAAGGCGACGAUCGGUAGCCGGACUGAGAGGUUGAACGGCCACAUUGGGACUGAGACACGGCCCAGACUCCUACGGGAGGCAGCAGUGGGGAAUAUUGCACAAUGGGGGAAACCCUGAUGCAGCGACGCCGCGUGGAGGAAGAAGGUCUUCGGAUUGUAAACUCCUGUUGUUGGGGAAGAUAAUGACGGUACCCAACAAGGAAGUGACGGCUAACUACGUGCCAGCAGCCGCGGUAAAACGUAGGUCACAAGCGUUGUCCGGAAUUACUGGGUGUAAAGGGAGCGCAGGCGGGAAGACAAGUUGGAAGUGAAAUCUAUGGGCUCAACCCAUAAACUGCUUUCAAAACUGUUUUUCUUGAGUAGUGCAGAGGUAGGCGGAAUUCCCGGUGUAGCGGUGGAAUGCGUAGAUAUCGGGAGGAACACCAGUGGCGAAGGCGGCCUACUGGGCACCAACUGACGCUGAGGCUCGAAAGUGUGGGUAGCAAACAGGAUUAGAUACCCUGGUAGUCCACACCGUAAACGAUGAUUACUAGGUGUUGGAGGUUUGACCCCUUCAGUGCCGCAGUUAACACAAUAAGUAAUCCACCUGGGGAGUACGACCGCAAGGUUGAAACUCAAAGGAAUUGACGGGGGCCCGCACAAGCAGUGGAGUAUGUGGUUUAAUUCGACGCAACGCGAAGAACCUUACCAAGUCUUGACAUCCCUUGACGAUGCUGGAAACAGUAUUUCUCUUCGGAGCAAGGAGACAGGUGGUGCAUGGUUGUCGUCAGCUCGUGUCGUGAGAUGUUGGGUUAAGUCCCGCAACGAGCGCAACCCUUAUGGUCAGUUACUACGCAAGAGGACUCUGGCCAGACUGCCGUUGACAAAACGGAGGAAGGUGGGGAUGACGUUAAAUCAUCAUGCCCUUUAUGACUUGGGCUACACACGUACUACAAUGGCGUUAAACAAAGAGAAGCAAGACCGCGAGGUGGAGCAAAACUCAGAAACAACGUCCCAGUUCGGACUGCAGGCUGCAACUCGCCUGCACGAAGUCGGAAUUGCUAGUAAUCGUGGAUCAGCAUGCCACGGUGAAUACGUUCCCGGGCCUUGCACUCACCGCCCGUCA
rnacentral:rRNA from 1 species